CUCAUAUUUGUUUAAAGACUUUGGUCCCUCUGAUUUGUAUUUUCAGUCCUGUUGUUUUCCAUUUCCUACAGGGUCCAGAGUUCAUCCAGUCCGUCACAGUCGGAGGAGAUCUACAAAUGAGUGCAGAGAAGCUUCCUUUUGCACGUCUCGCCUGAGAUCGAAACUUCAUGUAAUGCUGUCAUUCUGUGCGCACGUUAACCCAUGCAGAAGCAUUCUCCAAAACACUUGUUAAGUCACAUGUCAGUGUUUCAAACAUCCUCCAUUGAUUCUGUCAGGCGCUCUGUAUUCUUCACAUCCAUUGUGUCAGGAUGUGCCACCGCACCACUGUCUUCCAGGAAGUGAACGAGCAAAGUGUAUACUCUUUGGUGUUAGGAUGAAGAGAGUGAGGGAGAAGGGUAUUCCUGCACAACCGGAGGCUGCAGUUUCAGGACUGCAGUUCUUGGACCGCAGUUUUAGGACCCUAGUUUUUUUGUGACCGCGCCACCUACCGUACUGGAUCAACACUAAUUAAAGAUGGACGACGUGGACAGCAAUCAGACGGGUCCAGAGUUCAUCCAGUCCGUCACAGUCGGAGGAGAUCUACAAAUGAGUGCAGAGAAGCUUCCUUUUGCACGUCUCGCCUGAGAUCGAAACUUCAUGUAAUGCUGUCAUUCUGUGCGCACGUUAACCCAUGCAGAAGCAUUCUCCAAAACACUUGUUACGUCACAUGUCAGUGUUUCAAACAUCCUCCAUUGAUUCUGUCAGGCGCUCUGUAUUCUUCACAUCCAUUGUGUCAGGAUGUGCCACCGCACCACUGUCUUCCAGGAAGUGAACGAGCAAAGUGUACUCUUUGGUGUUAGGAUGAAGAGAGUGAGGGAGAAGGGUAUUCCUGCACAACCGGAGGCUGCAGUUUCAGGACUGAAGUUCUUGGACCGCAGUUUUAGGACCCUCGUUUUUUUGUGACCGCGCCACCUACCGUACUGGAUCAACACUAAUUAAAGAUGGACGACGUGGACAGCAAUCAGACGGUGAGUACCGAUAUUUAAUUAAGUUUUAUUUUAUAACGUUUAAGCGGUGCGAAGUUUACAUACUGAGAACUGCUAACUGUGAAUUAAUAAUUAAUUCCCACCAAAUUAAGAAUUUGUGAGCUAGUUUUUACUACGACGUUA